rnacentral:rRNA from 1 species
AUUGAACGCUGGCGGCAGGCUUAACACAUGCAAGUCGAGCGAGCGGCGGACGGGUGAGUAAUGUCUGGGAAACUGCCUGAUGGAGGGGGAUAACUACUGGAAACGGUAGCUAAUCCCGCAUACCAUCAGAUGUGCCCAGAUGGGAUUAGCUAGUAGGUGGGGUAAUGGCUCACCUAGGCGACGAUCCCUAGCUGGUCGGAGAGGAUGACCAGCAACAAGGGAACUGAGAGACGGUCCAGACUCCUACGGGAGGCAGAAGUGGGGAAUAGUGCAAAAUGGGCGCAAGCCUGAUGCAGCCAUGCCGCGUGUGUGAAGAAGGCCUUCGGGUUGGAAAGCACGUUCAGCGAGGAGGCGUUACUCGCAGAAGAAGCAACGGCUAACUCCGUGCCAGCAGCCGCGGUAAUUC